GCAUGUAUUAUCUGAGCAGAGCUGAUGUCUCUCACCGCUUUAGCUCUAGAAUUACUCUGAGGCCCGGCAAGCCCCCGAUCGCUCCGGCAGUGCAGCUUUUCCCACUUGUGGGAUCGAGUCCUCGUGCCAGCCUGGGAGGCAGCUUGAGGAGAGGGGGACUUGGUUGGGAUCUGCCCCAUUGCCCGGUGGGCUGAGCCGUGGGUUCUGUGCCCCGGCAGGGCUCUCACGUGGCCCGAGUUCCAUGGCUUGGCAGUUUGUGUCCAGGUGUCCGGUUGAGCCUGGGACGUUCUGGCCAGCCCAGAUGUAUGAUCCAGCAUUGUUGAGAGUCCCCAUGGCCGCAGGUCCUGGUGGGGUGUGUCAGGUGAGGUUUGAGGUGACUCAUGUACCAGCAAGGUGCCGGGGCUUUGGAUGUGCAGUGGGAUCUGCAGCAGCUGGGAAGGUGUUGCUGGGUGUGUGCUCAGGGACAUGCAGCUCCCUGUGGCUGUCCUUGGCCUCUUGUCGGCUCUCGAGGCAUUAAUUUGUGGGGAGGUGUAGGAAAGGGGCCAGUGCCUUCUGUUAGUUCAGGGCCUUUUGUGUUUCUGAAGUCCAGGUUUUGCUUUUUAUGCUGUAUUUUCUGUAGGAAUUUGAGUGUUUUUUUGAUUUUAUUAAAACUGUUUUAUGUGUCA